rnacentral:ribozyme from 11 species
UUUUUUUUUUUUUUUUUUUUUUUUUUUUUUUUUUCUCUUUCCUCAUCUUUACUGAUCACAAACAUGCAGGA